GAAUUCAUUCUGUCUCCGUACCUCCACCUACAAAGUUAAAACAAAACCACGGCAUCCCAGCUUCGAUCGCCUUAAUAUUAGCUGCUACAAACGUACCUGAAAACCAAAACAAAUAUUAAUGCAAUUAUAACAACAAACUUAAUACUUACCUCCAGAAUAAUCGCAAACUUUAAAAACCCAAUUCCUUGGCAUCCCAGUUGCGUCGGCCUUAAUAUUAGCUGCUACAAACGUACCUGGAAAAUUAAACAAAUAUAAAAGCAAUUAAAACAACAAACGUAAUACUUACCUCCAGAAUAAUCGCAAACGUAAAGAAAUCAAAACCAAGGGAUCCCAGCAGCGACGGCCUCAAUAUGAACUGCAACAAAUGUACCUGAAAACAAAAACAAAUAUUAAUUCAAUUAUAACAACAAACUUAAUACUUACCUUCAGAUUAACUGCAAACUUAAAUAACCCAAAACCACGGCAUCCCAGCUGCGACGGCCUAAAUAAGAGUUGCUACAACUGUACCUUAAAACAAAAACAAAUAUUAAAUAUAAAUUAUAACAAAUAGCUUAAUAUUUACCUCCAGAUCAACCGCAAACUUGAAGAACUCAAAACCACGGCAUCCCAGCUUCGAUCGCCUUAAUAUUAGCUGCUACAAAUGUACCUGAAAACCAAAAACAAAUAUUAAUGCAAUUAUAACAACAAACUUAAUACUUACCUCCAGAUUAAUCGCAAACUUUAAAAACCCAAUUCCUUGGCAUCCCAGUUGCGUCGGCCAUAAUAUCAGCUGCUACAAACGUACCUGGAAAAUUAAACAAAUAUAAAAGCAAUUAAAACAACAAACGUAAUACUUACCUCCAGAAUAAUCGCAAACGUAAAGAAAUCAAAACCAAGGGAUCCCAGCAGCGUCGGCCUCAAUCUGAGCUGCAACAAAUGUACCUGAAAACAAAAACAAAUAUUAAUUCAAUUAUAACAACAAACUUAAUUUAAUGCAAUUUAAAACAAACAUAAUACCCACCUUCAGAAUAGCCGACCUGAAAAAUAUACCUGAAAAACAACAAAUAAUGCAACUAUAUAAAUAAACAAAUACAAAUAUAAUACUUACCUCCAAAAACCGUCCAGCCUAGGCACCUGAAAAAUACAAAGGGAAAAAAAAAUAAAAUACCAGCAGCAACAACAGCAACGACGCAGCCGCCACCGGCAGCGGCAAUAGCAGCGACGCAGCCACCACCAGCAGCGACGCAGCCACCACCAGCAGCGACGCAGGCACCACCAGCAGCGACGCAGGCACCACCAGCAGUGACGCAGGCACCACCAGCAGCGACGCAGUCACCACCAACAGCAACAACAGCAGCGACGCGGACGCCACCAGCAGCGACGCAGCCACCACCACCAGCAGCAGCAGCAGCUACGUAGUCACCUUCAGCAACAACAACAGCAGCGACGCUUUCACCACCAACAGCAACAGCGGCGGCGACGCAACCACCACCAUAAGCAACAACAGCAGCGGCGGCAGCGACAGCAGUAGCAGGGAAUGGCUUCGGCCUCAGUCGCAUACCUUGCCAAUCGGUUGGACUUACGAAGUAUGAGACGUCGAUUAUCCUGCGGACAAAUCCUUCCUUCCGGAUGCCUGAAUAUUUUGUCGAGCCAGCUGAUCAUUGUUUUUCCGACUCCAUACCUGACCACUGGACAAUCAUCCUGGACAACAAUCACCGGCGAUUCAAAUCUGGAAGAAAGAAAUCUGGAUCAGUUUGUUUCCUUCAGAUUUGUAUGUAACUGCAUCCCUGACAAACCGGAGCGUUUCCAUCAGACGACGCUGGACUGCGGCGCAUUUUUCCACCCGCCACAGAAUGGACGCUUGCAUAAGGCCUGACGGGCCAGAUGGGCCGAUGCCUGGUACACGAUGGCAUCUCCGCGGUGGCGCGAUGAGCAGCGACGCUGAAAGAAAUAAUAAUAUUUAGUUUGCGUAGUGAGACCAGCUACCGAGAAUGACCUGGAAUACCGGCUAACGCGAAGCAGGGUAUCGAUAAAGAUUCUGGCGGGAAAAAUGCCAGAACAUCGAUUACCAGCUAUAUUGCUUUUACCCCCGAUUUAUCGAAGCCCAGGAGUAGUGAGACCAGCUACUGACAAUGACCAAUGACAUCGGCCAACGCGAAGCGAUAUAUCGGUUACCAUUCUGACGGGAAAAUCGCCAGAACGCCGAUUACUAGCCGUGUUUUUUCCCUCCGAUUUAUCGAAGUCCAAUAGCCCGCCUAGGCUUCCCGACCAAAACGGCGCGUCAGUGGUGAUUAAAAAUCCGACAGAGGCACCAGUGCAACAGCUACCCAAAGUGAACAAGACGGAACGGCAUACAAAAUGGACGGACACAAUGGAAACCAAAGUGAAGGAUGGGCAACUGUGCUAUCUAUCUCCUCGGACGAUAGCAACUGCUCGUCGUCGCCGCCAUCAGCCAGAGUCUCAUCGCUGGAAUCCUAUGCCACAUCAAUUUAAUUUAGAAUAUACAUCCACCCAAAACUGUUUCCCACUAAUACUACAAAUUUUCUCUCAUAAAAUUACUUAAACUUAAAACUACUACUACUUAUAAAUAUUUUUAACUACCGUAAGCUAAGGCUACUUAACGUAAAAUCCUAACUUAAAUCAGGGCGCGGAUAACUGCUGCCAAGCAAAUCAAAAUUGUCCUCGAAAUUGUAAUCCUUAAAUAACUAUCAUAGCCAAGGCGCGCACAACUGCCGCCGAUCCAAAAAUGUAAAAUGCCAUAAAUUGUAACUAUAUAUUUUUAAAACAAAAAUCAGA